GCAUAUCAAUAAGCGGAGGAAAAGAAACUAACAAGGAUUCCCCUAGUAACUGCGAGUGAAGCGGGAAAAGCUCAAAUUUAAAAUCUGAGGGUCCUUGCGGCCUUCCGAGUUGUAAUCUAGAGAAGUGUUAUCCGCGCUGGACCGUGUACAAGUCUCCUG
rnacentral:rRNA from 2 species